UACGAAGGGGCUAGCGUUGCUCGGAAUCACUGGGCGUAAAGGGCGCGUAGGCGGCCAUUCAAGUCAGGGGUGAAAGCCUGUGGCUCAACCACAGAAUUGCCUUUGAUACUGUUUGGCUAGAGACCGGAAGAGGUAAGUGGAACUGCGAGUGUAGAGGUGAAAUUCGUAGAUAUUCGCAAGAACACCAGUGGCGAAGGCGGCUUACUGGUCCGGUUCUGACGCUGAGGCGCGAAAGCGUGGGGAGCAACAGG
rnacentral:rRNA from 1 species